rnacentral:rRNA from 1 species
AGUCAAGAGGAGCUUGCUUUUCUUGACUUAGUGGCGAACGGGUGAGUAACGCGUGAGUAACCUGCCCUGGAGUGAGGGACAACAGUUGGAAACGACUGCUAAUACCGCAUAAGCGCACAGGACCGCAUGGUCCGGUGUGAAAAACUCCGGUGGUGUGAGAUGGCCUCGCGUCCGAUUAGCUAGUUGGUGAGGUAACGGCCCACCAAGGCGACGAUCAGUAGCCGGACUGAGAGGUUGACCGGCCACAUUGGGACUGAGAUACGGCCCAGACUCC